rnacentral:rRNA from 1 species
AUGUGGAGACUGACUGGCAUCUACGGCGAGCCUAGCUGGAGCUGUAAACACCGUACCUUUCAGCUAUUGAGGGAUUUGCAUGCCCAGUCGAGAUUGCCUUGGGUUGUAAUAGGGGACUUCAACGAGAUUCUUUACUCGGAUGAAAAAGAGGGUGGGGCUCCCAGAAGCCAGACUUGCCUCCAGGCCUUCUAGGAUGCCCUAAUAGAUUAUUCACUUGAGGAUCUAGGCUUCAACGGAGACAAGUUUACAUGGUUCCGUGGAGGGCUGCGAGAGAGACUGGACCGAGCUGUCUCUAAUGAGACAUGGCUGUUAAUGCACCCGUUAGCUGGACUCAGUAAUUUGGAGAUGGGUAAGUCGGACCAUAGGCCGAUU